UUUAGAACUCAAGAUAUGAACUGAAAACCGAACAGUGUUUGAGCUGCAGGACAGAUUCUGACUUCUCCGUUGUUGCUAAGAUUUGAACUUGAAAACGGCAGAAUUGAGUCUUGGACUCCACAUAAAAGUUUUAGGUCUAUGUCUUAGCUUUCCAUC
rfam:Populus trichocarpa scaffold_10_contig_224, whole genome shotgun sequence.